AGGUAAGCUACUAAGAGCGAAUGGUGGAUGCCUUGACUGGUAAAGGCGAUGAAGGACGUACUAGACUGCGAUAAGCUACGGGGAGCUGUCAAGAAGCUUUGAUCCGUAGAUUUCCGAAUGGGGCAACCCAAUGUAUAGAGAUAUACAUUACCUAUAUAGGAGCGAACGAGGGGAAUUGAAACAUCUUAGUACCCUCAGGAAAAGAAAUCAAUAGAGAUUGCGUCAGUAGCGGCGAGCGAAAGCGCAAGAGGGCAAACCCAGUGCUUGCACUGGGGGUUGUAGGACUGCAAUGUGCAAGAGGUGAGUUUAGCAGAACAUUCUGGAAAGUAUAGCCAUAGAGGGUGAUAGUCCCGUAUGCGAAAAACAAACCUUAGCUAGCAGUAUCCUGAGUAGGGCGGGACACGAGAAAUCCUGUCUGAAGCUGGGUCGACCACGAUCCAACCCUAAAUACUAAUACCAGAUCGAUAGUGCACAAGUACCGUGAGGGAAAGGUGAAAAGAACUGAGGUGAUCAGAGUGAAAUAGAACCUGAAACCAU
rnacentral:rRNA from 1 species